rnacentral:ncRNA from 2 species
AAAAUGACUCUCGGCAACGGAUAU